rnacentral:rRNA from 1 species
GACAGAGGGUGCAACCGUUGUUCGGAAUUACUGGGCGUAAAGCGCGUGUAGGUGGCGAGGCAAGUCGGGUGUGAAAGCCCUGGGCUCAACCCAGGAAGUGCACUCGAUACUGCCUAGCUAGAGUCCCGGAGAGGUUGGUGGAACUCUCGGUGUAGAGGUGAAAUUCGUAGAUAUCGAGAAGAACACCGGUGGCGAAGGCGGCCAACUGGACGGUGACUGACACUGAGACGCGAAAGCGUGGGGAGCAAACAGG